GAUGAACGCUGGCGGCGUGCCUAAUACAUGCAAGUCGAGCGAACAGACGAGGAGCUUGCUCCUUUGACGUUAGCGGCGGACGGGUGAGUAACACGUAGGUAACCUACCUAUAAGACUGGGAUAACUUCGGGAAACCGGAGCUAAUACCGGAUAAUAUUUCGAACCGCAUGGUUCGAUAGUGAAAGAUGGUUUUGCUAUCACUUAUAGAUGGACCUGCGCCGUAUUAGCUAGUUGGUAAGGUAACGGCUUACCAAGGCAACGAUACGUAGCCGACCUGAGAGGGUGAUCGGCCACACUGGAACUGAGACACGGUCCAGACUCCUACGGGAGGCAGCAGUAGGGAAUCUUCCGCAAUGGGCGAAAGCCUGACGGAGCAACGCCGCGUGAGUGAUGAAGGUCUUCGGAUCGUAAAACUCUGUUAUUAGGGAAGAACAAACGUGUAAGUAACUGUGCACGUCUUGACGGUACCUAAUCAGAAAGCCACGGCUAACUACGUG
rnacentral:rRNA from 1 species